UAAGUCCUACGGGAGGCAGCAGUCGGGAAUAUUGCGCAAUGGAGGAAACUCUGACGCAGUGACGCCGCGUGCAGGAAGAAGGUUUUCGGAUUGUAAACUGCUUUAGACAGGGAAGAAAAAAGACAGUACCUGUAGAAUAAGCUCCGGCUAACUACGUGCCAGCAGCCGCGGUAAUACGUAGGGAGCGAGCGUUAUCCGGAUUUAUUGGGUGUAAAGGGUGCGUAGACGGGGAGUUAAGUUAGUUGUGAAAUCCCAAGGCUCAACUUUGGAACUGCAACUAAAACUAAUUUUCUUGAGUACUGGAG
rnacentral:rRNA from 1 species